GACAGAGGUGCCAAGCGUAGGCGGAAUCACUGGGCUUAAAGCGUGUGUAGGCGGGCGGGCAAGUACCUUGUGAAAUCCCACGGCUCAACCGUGGAACGGCUGGGUAUACUGCCUGUCUUGAGCCUUCUAGGGGCGAGUGGAACAAAUGGUGGAGCGGUGAAAUGCGUAGAUAUCAUUUGGAACGCCAAUGGUGAAAACAACUCGCUGGGGAAGUGCUGACGCUGAGACACGAAAGCCAGGGGAGCGAACGGG
rnacentral:rRNA from 1 species